rnacentral:rRNA from 1 species
GCGCGCGCGUGUGUGUGUCUGAGUGGUCAUGAACAGCGAUAUAUACUCCGUGCUAGUUUUCCGCAUAAAUAUAGUGGUAACCAACUCGGGUUCGCAUUUGUGUAUCCGUAUUCCCAAACUUAGGCGAUCCAUCUUUGUUUCCCUUCUUCGUCCGCCGUCAUCAACAUGUUCUUCCCUCAUAGCAAGUCGUAGUCGUACCGCUGGAGCGACGAUGGUGCGACCCGUGGAUGUGGGUCGGUCAGUGUCGGCGCCACCCCAGGAAGUCGACGGAGGGAGUGUCCCCUCCAUGUCGACGACCUUGGUCGCUGUAGGCUCCACUUUCCGCGGUACCCAUCGGCGGUGCCUUAAGAAAGACCCCAACUUCCAUAACUAGUAGCACUUCCGGCUGACCUCCCGUAGGGAUCGCUACCGCCGCACAAGUAUUGCACCCUCCUGCACACCCACUGCCGCCAGCUGGCGUCCCGGUGAUAAAACGUGCCGUAGUCGCCGUCGCGCGCGGGGCCGGUUCACGACCGGUAGUACCCUGGGAGGCCCACACCGUUCUGAUGUGACGAGCUGUGGAACCGGCCCUCUGACCUGUUCUUGGACUCUUCAUUUCCUCUAUAAGCCUAUUUACCGGCCUCUGUCUCCGAGCGGAAACCUUAAAGCCGUAUGCACUGCGUUCUCUUGUACGACUACCGGUGUGAGUGCCACGCACUCCGGUAGAUGAUGAGCCGUGUCUAGGUCGACGGGCUAUGGUACGACGAACGUCUAUUCGACCGGGCGCGGCUGCUUCGGUAGGUCCUCUACCCCGAGUGGUCGUGGGAUCUAUGCGCGUAGCCGCCUGUGUUAUGAUUCCCGUAGUCACCGCCCGUCGCCUUCGCAGACUCGUAGACGGAGCUCUAGGAGUGCUCCGGCGCCGAAGAUAAGGACCUACUCGGAUGGUCGCCCGAUCUGUCGCGACGGAGGAAGGUACACUACUUGGCGUAUCGACUGGAGCGACGGUCCCUCCCGUACUGGUAGCAACGGCAUCACGUGGUCGGUACGUUGCUCCACAAGCUCUAGAAAGUACCGGAAACGAACGAACGGAGACCUGCCUGUUAAAUGAAACCGGGCCGGUGGUUACGGUUACUCAAGAAGAGUAGUUUACCGAUGGGAACGGGUGGUUACUCUUUAGGAAGUCUAGUAAAGGACUCCUGUUAGUUGUCUCUAAAACUUAACCUUUCACCUCUUUCUUGUUAUAGCAGGUUCGGUAGAGGUCGUCUACUUCGUUAUGUUCAAGACCAUUUACGGAUGUUUAGGAGGUUAUGAAGACUUUUACGGUUUUUCCUUUACGUUCUGUAUUUACUUUACCCACCUCACUACUAGUCUUCUUUGGUUCGAUCAAAGGACUGUUUCCACAAACAUGAGUGGUCUUCUAGCAAACACUUGUACAUAUCUCUGCAGCCUAUGAUGACCGAUGCAGAACCGUAGAUAUAAAGGUAAUCAGAUACGGAACCAUGGUAUAUAAUGUUAAAACCGAUACCUAUGCUAAGGUAGGCAAGAUCUAGUAGUUACGAUUACAAGUGGUCACCGGAAGAUUGUAAUUACCGUUAACCUCCUAAGGGAAGGAAACACCUCCUUUACUUCUAUAAGUCCUCUCUUGCCGAUUUACCCGUAAUACCACACAGUCGUAAACACUAGAGGUUAACCAACAGUCGGUGCGGUAUAGAAAAGGAAUAACGAUAUAAUGGACCACGUUAUCGGAUGAUGGACAGACCAGAUUUCUCUUCUCAUCUGGUAAAACAUAUAAAAUGCGAACAGGAAACAAGCACGUGCUACGAUCAACUUCCGGAAUACUACUGACAUCGACGAUAGCACGGUCUAAAAGACUACCCGUAGUAGUGUCCACGACCUUAUGUUCAUUAGUACAACGAGUUAACACCCAAGAAGGUUUAUGGAUCAUUUGACGGUUUCUAUCAUACCUUCAUGGGUUACAAGAUGUAGAGAAAAGUCUUCAUACGUGAAGUUCCUAAAAUGUUCUUACUCAAGAACCCAAACCAUAAGCUUUUGUUGUGUCCUCAACCGUUCCUUUGUUAUUGACCACUUCUUCACUAUUCAUUCAAUAAACUCUGUCUUUACCCCGUGAGUUUUACCCACCUGAAACAUCACGAUACACCUUACUAACAUUACAUAUCCAACGAAAAACAUCACUAAUAAUUCCAACAGCUGUACGAUUUCGGGUAUAGGUUCCCACUUAGUAAAUGCACAGGGCGAGUAACAUAAACACCGUAACUUUUCGGCACAUGAGCGUAAAUUGUAGAUAUACUUUUAUUAUGACAUUCUACUAUUCCCAUGAUGACUAUUUUAUUUUCCUUUUAUUCUCUAAAUGACACUA